rnacentral:rRNA from 1 species
CACAAGCGGUGGAGCAUGUGGUUAAUUCGAAGCAACGCGACGAACCUUACCAGGUCUUGACAUCCCGAUGCUAUUUCUAGAGAUAGAAAGUUACUUCGGUACAUCGGUGACAGGUGGUGCAUGGUUGUCGUCAGCUCGUGUCGUGAGAUGUUGGGUUAAGUCCCGCAACGAGCGCAACCCCUAUUGUUAGUUGCCAUCAUUCAGUUGGGCACUCUAGCGAGACUGCCGGUAAUAAACCGGAGGAAGGUGGGGAUGACGUCAAAUCACCAUGCCCCUUAUGACCUGGGCUACACACGUGCUACAAUGGUUGGUACAACGAGUUGCGAGUCGGUGACGGCGAGCUAAUCUCUUAAAGCCAAUCUCAGUUCGGAUUGUAGGCUGCAACUCGCCUACAUGAAGUCGGAAUCGCUAGUAAUCGCGGAUCAGCACGCCGCGGUGAAUACGUUCCCGGGCCUU